UACGGGGGGGGGCAAGCGUUGUUCGGAAUUACUGGGCGUAAAGGGCGCGUAGGCGGCCUGCUAAGUCGGAUGUGAAAUCCCUCGGCUUAACCGAGGAACUGCAUCCGAUACUGGCGGGCUUGAAUCCGGGAGAGGGAUGUGGAAUUCCAGGUGUAGCGGUGAAAUGCGUAGAGAUCAGGAAGAACAUCGGUGGCGAAGGCGCUCUGCUGGACCAUAACUGACACUCAGGGACGAAAGCUAGGGGAGCGAAUGGG
rnacentral:rRNA from 1 species